rnacentral:rRNA from 1 species
UGAGCAAUCUGCCCUUCUCUUCGGAAUAAGCGUUGGAAACGACGUCUAAUGCCGAAUACGACCUCCUUUCGCAUGAUCGGAGGUGGAAAGCUCCGGCGGAGAAGGAUGAGCUCGCGGCCUAUCAGCUAGUUGGUGUGGGUAAUGGCCCACCAAGGCGACGACGGGUAGCUGGUCUGAGAGGACGACCAGCCACACUGGAACUGAGAUACGGUCCAGACUCCGUAGGAGG